rnacentral:rRNA from 1 species
GUCCACGCCCUAAACGAUGUCAACUAGUUGUUCGGAGAGGUAACUUUCUGAGUAACGCAGCUAACGCGUGAAGUUGACCGCCUGGGGAGUACGGCCGCAAGGUUAAACUCAAAGGAAUUGACGGGGACCCGUACAAGCGGUGGAUGAUGUGGAUUAAUUCGAUGCAACGCGAAAACCUUACCUACCCUUGACAUGCCUGGAAUCCUGCAGAGAUGCGGGAGUGCCUUCUGGAGCCAGGACACAGGUGCUGCAUGGCUGUCGU